UCUCGAUAGCGUAAAAGUUAACUUAAAUUGGUAUGGAGUUGGAAUGUUUCGCUACGUUUGCCGCUAGGGGCGCUGUUCCAACUCCAUACAAAAUUGAGUUAACUAUUAAAUUAUCGA
rnacentral:pre_miRNA from 9 species